UUAUGGGGACAGCCGAUAAAUAAAUAAAAAAACGAAGUGCAUGACAGUCUUUGCCAAAGGUAACCUGCAUUUAUCUUCUAGGGAGAGUUGGGCCUUGUUGGAGUUGUUGGCCCCAGAGGCCCGCAGGUAAGAGGAGACGUUUGUCUUGUUGUGUUUUCUUGCCUGAAGUUGGGUCACAUUCAACAGAACUACAUGCUCUAUGCUUGUUAGACUAUAAAGGAAAUAUUUCUGUUUAUUUCACCAGGGGCCCCAGGGUUUAGAUGGUGAGAGUGGGCCUCCAGGUCUCAGGGGAAUUCAGGUCAGUCUCAAUCAGCUGCACAACUUUCCCUAACAGAGACUUGGGACCAGAUGAUUGUCUUUGGAAAUGUAUUUUUCUGAGGGAUAAUAUCUGGGGUUAAAGGUCAUCUGUAUUUUCACAGGGACAGCUUGGGAUGAGUGGUGCCGCUGGUCCGAAAGGUGACCCUGUAAGUCUCUCCUCUCUUCACUGGUAAAGUUCAUUCUGCUCUAGUAAAACAAACUACUAUACCUGUCUCUCUCCAACCCCCUUGCUUCCUUUCUUUCUCUGUCUUCCUCAGGGACCAAUGGGGAUGAUGGGUAUCCAGGGUGAGCUAGGGUUCGAGGGGCCCAUGGGCCCACUGGGAAUACAAGGUCCAAUGGGUUUCCCUGGUAUUACUGGAAAAAGAGGACCAGACGGGGAUAAGGGAGACCCUGGACCAAAGGGGGAGAGAGGUGUUCAGGGUUCUUCGGGUAUCCAAGGGCCUCAGGGAGAGAGGGGUCCCAGUGGCCCCCCUGGCUUUACAGGGCUCAAAGGUCAAUCUGGCACUAAAGGCAUUGAGGGGGAGAAUGGAGAAACUGGCCAUCAGGGAAAACUGGGCAGACAGGGGCUGAAGGGGAAUAGAGGGACAGCUUGGCGCAACGGCAAGCCUGGACACAGAGGGAACAAGGUAGGACACUCUCCCAUUGAAUGCGUUUAUGAAGGUUGCUAAAAUGUCCAGGUUAUCCAGCAUUUCUAGGAUAUGUAAUUUC
rnacentral:lncRNA from 1 species